UUACCUCAGUAACGGCGAGUGAAGCGGUAACAGCUCAAAUUUGAAAUCUGGCUCCUUCGGGGCCCGAGUUGUAAUUUGUAGAAGAUGCUUCGGGUGUGGCCCCGGUCUAAGUUCCUUGGAACAGGACGUCACAGAGGGUGAGAAUCCCGUAUGUGGCCGGUGGCCUCCGCUCAUGUGAAGCUCUUUCGACGAGUCGAGUUGUUUGGGAAUGCAGCUCAAAAUGGGUGGUAAAUUUCAUCUAAAGCUAAAUAUUGGCCAGAGACCGAUAGCGCACAAGUAGAGUGAUCGAAAGAUGAAAAGCACUUUGGAAAGAGAGUUAAACAGUACGUGAAAUUGUUGAAAGGGAAGCGCUUGCAAUCAGACUUGGGCGCUGUUGAUCAUCCGGGGUUCUCUCCGGUGCACUCGGCAGCGCGCAGGCCAGCAUCGGUUUGGGCGGUUGGAUAAAGGCCUGGGGAAUGUAGCUUCUUUCGGGGAGUGUUAUAGCCCCAGGUGCAAUGCAGCCUGCCUGGACCGAGGACCGCGCUUCGGCUAGGAUGCUGGCGUAAUGGUUGUAAGCGACCCGUCUUGAAACACGGACCAAGGAGUCUAACAUUUAUGCGAGUAUUUGAGUGUCAAACUCAUCUGCGCAAUGAAAGUGAACGGAGGUAAGAGCCCUUUAGGGUGCAUUAUCGACCGGUCCUGAUGUCUUCGGAUGGAUCUGAGUAAGAGCAUAACUGUUGGGACCCGAAAGAUGGUGAACUAUGCCUGAAUAGGGUGAAGCCAGAGGAAACUCUGGUGGAGGCUCGCAGCGGUUCUGACGUGCAAAUCGAUCGUCAAAUUUGGGUAUAGGGGCGAAAGACUAAUCGA
rnacentral:rRNA from 1 species